rnacentral:rRNA from 1 species
UACGUAGGGGGCAAGCGUUGUCCGGAUUUAUUGGGCGUAAAGAGCGUGUAGGCGGCUUUGCAAGUCCGUUGUGAAAACUCGAGGCUCAACCUCGAGACGCCGGUGGAAACUGCAAAGCUGGAGUACGGUAGGGGCAGAGGGAACUUCCGGUGGAGCGGUGAAAUGCGUAGAGAUCGGAAAGAACACCAACGGCGAAAGCACUCUGCUGGGCCGACACUGACACUGAGAGACGAAAGCUAGGGGAGCGAAUGGG